CAACAUUAGCAGCAACAGCACAACAGCCGGCAAUCGUUGUUGGUCAGAGUUGGCAGGGCGAUGUCAUUGUCAUGAACGACAGCUCAGCGACGGCGGCAACUUGGGGCGUUAUGCUGGAGGCAAACGCUCUCCUAUGCUCUCUGCGCUAAGUCUUUCAACACAUGCGUACAAACAAAGUACAUACAAUGGCAGGUCCGCCAAUUGAACAAGCAAAGCAGCUGCUGUUGUUUUGACUGACUGACCGAACGAGCGACUGAGUGACGGAUGUGACAGCAUGCCGGAUUUUUUUGGCCGGCGUGGAUUACUGAUUUCGUAAAUUUGUAGCUUGGUCGUAGCUACAUCUUUUGCGCUUCGCUUUGCUGAGGGUUUUUACACAACACCCAAAUCAAAAAAAUUAAAUAAAAAAAUAAAAAUAAACCGAUGGCUACGGUGGAUGAAGGAAGUUUCGCAAUGCAGUCGGCUAGCUGCGACGUCGAGUUCGGAGAGACUGCGCUCAGCUGUGACUCCAGUCUGCAGUCUGUGUGUGUCAUCUCUGCUACUGUUGUUGCUGCUGUUUUCUUGCCGCCUUCAUCUGCUGUGGCCGCCUCUGCCACUUUUAGUUUUUCUGGCGGCUAGCUUCUCAGGCUUAUAUUAGUAACUGAUAUCAUCGCUUGGCAGCAUUUUGAAUUUGAAAGUGAAAAGCGACGGUCGUCGGUGCUUGAAAUACGCUCGCACAUCGAGCAGACGCAAAAAAGACGCUUCUUAAUUCGCAGUAGGUCGCUGGUGGCGUGCGCCUACAGGAAAUAAAAGCAACAAACAUUUUUUUUAUAAAAACAAAAAAUAACAGAAACUCGAAAACCGUGCCAAAUUUGGUGACCUAAAAUAUUUUUAGUAAAACGUAAAAAAAAAAAAAUUUCAAAGUAUUAUAACGAAUAGCUGCCGUACAGGAAAUACAAGUGAUUGAGCCGUCUGUGUAGCGCGCAUCCGUUUCCGUUGCUUUGUCUUAUCGUUGUCGUUUUUGGCGCUGUCAUCGUGCAACGCUUUUUGUGCGCCUGUCAACGAGUUUAACACCCGCGCGUCUCUUACCGUAACUCAGCCGCGCUUGGUUUACCAACGGAAGUUGUUAGGCAAUCCAACCGACAAAUUCGCCUUCGCGCCAACCACUAACACAACCAAAUCAAAACAAAAACGACGCUAAAGGAUUACAUCGAAUAUUCUACUCCAGCUAACGAACAUAGAGGAAAAUAGAUUUCAAAACAAAUGGUAGGCUUAAAAAAGUAUAGAAAAAGUAUAAAUUUUCUUUUAU